CAGAUUUUAAUGGUCGAUAUUGCAUUCAGUAUUUUGGAAUAACAAAAUGCAUACAUAAAUAAAUCUAUUUUCUUUACAUAUAGCACCUUACGUUUGGGAGUGAUUUAUUGCUGAAUUUUAAACUACAAGUUUAUAUUAAACUCUUUUUUUAUAAAAAUUGGUUACCCAUAUACUUUAACUCUGUAAACAAUGGCACUGUCAGUGCUUGAAACAUUACGACAGAUUCUGACAUGUUCAAUCUGCAUGGAGAUUUUCAAGGACCCGAGACAGUUGCCAUGUCAACACACGCUGUGUCAACAGUGUAUGAUAUUGUGUAUAAGGAAGAGAAGAAAAAAGGGACGGAACAAUUUAAUGUUUCCUUGCCCCGAUGUGUCGAAAAGAGAUCGAAAUUGACAAAACCAAUCCAUUGACAUACACAUUUCCAAAAAAACAUGACGAUACAAAACCUAAUUGAUGAUUUUGAAAAUGACAUCAAAGGCAUUAUUGACAAUCAGCAUGACACUGAAAAGAAAGAAGUUUUUCCAAAAACAGAAAGGAUGGAAAAUAAAGCAAUGCAAGACGCAGAAACACAAACUGUUUCCCCACAUUUAGAGGGGCUAUUAAUAAAUCUGACAAAUCAACUUUUCCCAAUGACAAUCACACUGAUAUGGAUAAGAAAUGUGAAGAUAUUUAUUUGGAAAGUAUAUGCAUUGGUCAAGUGGAUCAUUCUUAACCUAACCCAGUUUGGGUUAACUAUGCUGAAAAUGGUUGGCUUGACAUCAUUCAUUUUUAUCUCUUUUUUGCUGAUUUAUUGUGGGAGUUGGUAUAUUGUUUUAUAUAGCUCUGGAUGCCAAUCUAUUACUGCCAAUGUAUUUUACAUUAUAUAUCAUAUUAGUGAACCUUUCUAUGAAGCUGGAAAAUUAAUUAUUUUCAACUUAUUAUACCAUCUUGUGAACGUCUGUGAAAUUGUCUUCACAUCCGGGAUAGAAAUUAUCAUCAAUUUGUCAUACUAUCUUGAUAAUAUUUGUGAUAAUGUCCACACAAAGGCAAAAGAAGUAACCCUCAAUUUGAUAUACUGUCUAGAUUACAUCGCUGAAAUCGUCUAUACAUCAGGGAUAGAAAUUACCAUGAAUUUGUCACACAAUUUUAAUAUUAUUUGUGAAAUUGUCCACACAAAAGGGAAAGAAAUCUUUUGAAAUCUGUACGUUAUUUUAGGACUAUUCUUAAUAUUGUUGCCAUGUCUUACUAUAAUGAUAAUGCCAUACCUUAUUGGAAACCCGAACGUUCGAUGGAGACAAACGGACAGGUUAAACACACGUGGUGGCAGAAAAAAACACAGAACAAAAAUGUUGCAUAUUAAGAGCUGAAAUAUAAGCCUAUUUCCAAGUAUAAAUAACAUGAACAUAAUUAAUAAAAUUAAGGAAUGAAUUACAGGCUUGAUGUCAUUAUCUGGGUAUGAACACAAUUGGGCUGGUCAAAGUGUAUGAGUCCGAAGGACUCCACGCGUACUUUGACCAGCCCAAUUGCGUUCAUAACCCUUAUAAUGACAUCAACCCCGCAAUUCAUUACUUAUAUUUACACCAAUAGUUCCUUAUUUCAUUCAAGAAUUGUUAAAAAAAUACUUAUUUCAUUUAAAAAAAACAACUUUCAUUAAUCCUUUCUUACCCAUUCUGUAAAUACAACGACCCGACUGUUACCGGAAACAUUUUUCAAAUGACGUCACAAUAAUGCGGGAAAAGAUCAACCACUUGAAAUCACUUUUAAACGUUAAAUUUAAACACUAAUGGCAACAAUACGUUUAAAAUCUAACAAAUUAACACUUUCUAAAAUGUUGAUUUAUAUUUUACGGGACCUACUGACACAAUAUAAACAAUAACAAGAUCAAUAGUUUUCAUGUAUAUUGUUAUGCGAUGAAUGGCGAUCCGAACAUAUCCAAACAUGUUGUGUUCAUCGAUUGAUGAAAGCAAUUGCCAAAAUGCAGUUCAUUUAAGGAAUGGAAGUUGAGGUGUAAAUAUUUAAUAGUGACAACACCUGUUAAAAGUUUUACACUUCAUAAUUAUAUCUCAAAUUUUUAUUAGAUUAUAGUGAAUUCUUGGAAUAUUCUAAUUUAGACAUCACUUUUCUCACUUUACCUAGGAUGAAAACAAAUUAAAUUGAUUUUUAACCAAUGUAGCCAAAUUUUUAAACUGCUUUAAAUUAGGAUUUUCUUAUUUACAAUAAAUCUGAGGUCCCUUCCUCUGAGUGUAGAAUGACGAAUGCCAACUUUAUUGGAAAAUCAGGAGUGAGUUGCUACUGCUGAUCAUUAUCCAACCAACUUCUAGACAAUGGUACCUUAGCAGACAGGGCCACCUAGGUCUAUCCAUCUAUUUUGACUCUGGUCAUAAAGAUGUCUACGCAACUCACCCCAGACAGUAUAUGACAGAAUGUACAUUUAACAUUAAACUAGUUUUGUGUUGUGUGUUUUGUUCUUCCUAGCUUGUCUUUGAAACUUCAUUUUCAAUGCUUGUAGUUUUAUUUCCAGCGGAAUGUUUUGUUUGAAUUGUCUUACACUUGCACUAUCAUCUACCUUCUGGUAUAAAUACAACUAGGAAUAAAUCAUUGGUUUUAAUGUA